rnacentral:rRNA from 1 species
CGUGCAGGCGGUGCGGUAAGUUGGAUGUGAAAGCUCCCGGCUCAACUGGGAGAGGUCGUUCAGUACUGCCGGACUCGAGGAUGGUAGAGGGAGGUGGAAUUCCCGGUGUAGUGGUGAAAUGCGUAGAUAUCGGGAGGAACACCAGUGGCGAAGGCGGCCUCCUGGACCAUUCCUGACGCUAAGACGCGAAAGCUAGGGGAGCAAACG